rnacentral:rRNA from 1 species
ACCCUUUAAUGUUUGAUGUUCUAACGUGGACCCGUGAUCCGGGUUGCGGACAGUGUCUGGUGGGUAGUUUGACUGGGGCGGUCUCCUCCUAAAGAGUAACGGAGGAGCACGAAGGUUGGCUAAUCCUGGUCGGACAUCAGGAGGUUAGUGCAAUGGCAUAAGCCAGCUUGACUGCGAGCGUGACGGCGCGAGCAGGUGCGAAAGCAGGUCAUAGUGAUCCGGUGGUUCUGAAUGGAAGGGCCAUCGCUCAACGGAUAAAAGGUACUCCGGGGAUAACAGGCUGAUACCGCCCAAGAGUUCAUAUCGACGGCGGUGUUUGGCACCUCGAUGUCGGCUCAUCACAUCCUGGGGCUGAAGUAGGUCCCAAGGGUAUGGCUGUUCGCCAUUUAAAGUGGUACGCGAGCUGGGUUUAGAACGUCGUGAGACAGUUCGGUCCCUAUCUGCCGUGGGCGCUGGAGAACUGAGGGGGGCUGCUCCUAGUACGAGAGGACCGGAGUGGACGCAUCACUGGUGUUCGGGUUGUCAUGCCAAUGGCACUGCCCGGUAGCUAAAUGCGGAAGAGAUAAGUGCUGAAAGCAUCUAAGCACGAAACUUGCCCCGAGAUGAGUUCUCCCUGAGACUUAGAGUCUCCUGAAGGAACGUUGAAGACGACGACGUUGAUAG